UCAUUGAUAAAAUAUGUUCGAGCAAAAUUGAGAAAAUGGUUUGUUUUGCAGGCCACGCAAUUUUGUCAGCCGCAGAAAAAAUCAGCUUAACUAUGAAAAAUUAACCAUAUGUUGAAAAUAACUAUGACAACAUUGUAACUGCAGCAUUUUGAGCAAUGUUUUGAAAAAAAGUAACAAAAACGCGCGUGUGAAAAGUUGGUUUAAAAAAUUUUGAGCGUGCACAUUUUUCAUAUAUUUUUAUUUGGUUUGUUGUUUUGGUAGUUCGUCAAAAUGCUUACGUUUAAUGUUUUACAACGUCGUUUACAGUCUUUUCUGUACAUUUUUGCUGUUUUAUCAUUAAUAUCCGUAAUUGGAUUUAUUAUCACAGGCAUUUUUGAAUAUGCUCUCAGACUGCAUGACUUUCAUGCUUUUGACCUUCACCACAUAAAUAUUGCCACAGUAUCCUACUUGGUAUGUGGCAUCAUGCUGAUCGUGGGUACCGUGGUUGGACUUUUUGGAAUCCAUCCACCUGCGAAGGAACACCUGGUCGAAAUCUAUAAGUGUGUACUGCUCGUGCUGAUUGCUUUGCUGAUCGGCGUUGGGAUUUUCUCGUUGUUAACUAAAGAUGACGCGGGAAAAGUUUUCUGGGACAGUGUGAAUCAGAAAAUGAUACAUUACCCAAACGAUACAGAAGUGAAAAGGGGUUGGGACAGAGUACAGGAAGACUUCAAAUGCUGCGGGAAAUCGGGCCCCGGAGACUGGAAGGUCGUGUUUAUUCCGGGCUAUCAUGUACCAGACUCCUGCUGCAAACAGAGAACUGAAGGUUGCGGCGAAACUCUGAGCAGUUUCAAUGAUACAAAAAUCAACCACGAGGGCUGCGCAGAUGUGGCUGGAUCCAUUGUUGAGAAUUAUUUGUUCCAGAUGAGCUUGAUUGCUGUGGUUUUUGGGGCUCUGCACUCAGUUGGGGUUAUAGGUGUAUUUCUGUUCACACGCAUCCUCACGAACGGAGACUUUUCUGUGUCACUAAAUUUCUGUGACAUUAACGUCAGAAAUCUAAGGGAAAUAGUGCCUGAUGAUGAUUGAUGAAUCUACUGAAAACUUACAAAAGACAUCUUAAAAGCUUAAAAGAAGGAACUGCUCAAUUAAUUAAUAAACUUUAAUCAUUGCUCUUUUGUAUAUUAUUUUAUUUUAAAUUUGAACUUUACAAAUAAACUAUUGGAAACGAC